UUGUGCUCUGCCUUCAUUAUGCUACGACAAUUACAAUUCUAACGUACGUUGCAGUUACUAAGUAUCCUCUUUCUCUUCCAAAACCUUCCUCUUAUUAUUCCAAAACGGUUUCCAAAUCUUUUUCCUUUCACACUCAGAACGAAUCUCCUUCCUCUCUCUCUCUCCGAGCCAAAACGGCAACGCCUCCACUCUUCUUCUCCGACGAACUGCUCUGAUUCAUCCCCUCUGAUAGUCUUCCGCAUCCGUUCAUCGGUUUGAUUAUGUUGCUGAGGUUUUUUGUUCGCGUUUGAACCUGUGGUGUUUGGUUUUGAAUGUUUGAUGAUGAAUGUUGAGUUGAAACAGCUCUGAAUUGCCAAAGCUGGGUGAGAUCUUUCCGAGUUUAUGUUAUUUUCUCUUUAAUCUCUCUUCUUCUCUCUCAAACUUUCUGCUUUAUUUUCUCCAUUCAAAUGUGAUUUAGGUGUAUUAAUGUUGCCUAAUUUAGUUUUAUUUUUGGAAUGAAUUAAUAGGCCACCAAGUGUUUGUUAUAAUGAUUGAAGAUUGUUGGAGAAUGUAAGAGAAUCAAUUCAAGAUUGAAGAUGUUAUGAGAUUGAAAUCGGUGAUGGUGAUUAUGGAGAGAAGAUUUGAGAUAUGGAGGAGGAUUUGGGAAUCGCAAACUCUGUCCUCUGAUUCUGUUAUUUUGUUCCGGUUAUAAUUAUUUCCUCUCAUUUUCUGUUAUGGAAAUUGAGAUCCUCGCCGUCAUCUUCUUCCAAUUCUCCCCACCUUAUCUUUGCCGCUUCGUUUGGAUAAACAAUGUGUUCGGUUGUUCUUAAACUACUGGGAAUUAGAAUUCAAGUAAGUUUUUCUUAGAAACCUGUUCCAUUUCCUUGAAUUGAUAUUGAAUAUAGCACACACAUACUUUUAUAGGUUGUUUCUUUGUGACUGCAAAAGCAAAAAAGAAACAGUGGAAUGCAGGAUUUUGGUGACAAAUAUAUGGGUAACAUACAUUCAGCAUUCAGGAUUUCGCGUAUCUUUAUGAUCCAAACAAUGAGACUGCUGAAGCAUUUGUGCCAGCUCAGAUAUUGUAUGAUGCAUUCCAUGGAAGGUAUCACAAUUUUGCAGGAGCAAUAGUUCUACUAUUUGUGAUUUGGGGUUCAUUCUUAUUUGGUGGACUAUCAAUCACCACAAGUGCUGCCAGAGUCGUAAGUACUACGAUGUUACAAGAGUAUGUACCGACGCAUUUGUAUAUUCAUUCAUUAUGGUUUCGUUGAUUUGAUUUUAGUGGUAUGUAGUUGGACAAUUUCUCCGUUUUACCGGAUCGAGUUUAUAUGCUUACUUUAAGCUCAUUGGCAAAUAACAUGUUCAA